AAAAAAGCAGGGGUUUGUUGCCUUUGUGAACUGGCCUCUCGUAACAUUCAGGGAUAUCAUAACCAAUGUUAUUGGGUGAACCUAUGUUUUUUUUUGUGUGGCUUAAGGUUCAGUAAACAAUGGAACAUGUCAAUUCAUUGAUUUUAAGUUAUUUUGUUGUUAUGUUAUUUUUUUACUGCCAUCAUGUAUAAUUUGAAGAAAAUGUAGCUGUGAUUUGUUGUUACUAAAUACAUUUUAUUUUAUUUACUAAUGAAGUGGCAUAGUUUCUGUGUGAUUUACCUUACUAAACGAAAUUAUUUGUGCACAUGAUUAAAUUUUCUAAAAUUAGGAAAAGGGAUAGCAAGAACUUUUUUUUCUUUAAAAAAAUGGAGCUAGGUAACCUGAUUAAAAAAGCAGGGGUCUGUUGCCUAAUGUGAGCAUGCCUCUCGUAACCUUCAGGGAUAUAAUAAUCAUUGUUCUUGGGUGAACCUCUGCUCUUUAUUUGUGACUGACGGUUCAGUAAACGAUGGAACAUGC